GAAUGUCGCAUCCGGUUACUUUUCCUACAGAUGUCUCUGCUCCUUGCGAAUUUUUUGAUUCAAAAACCUGUGUAGGAGCUGUGACUGAUUACAGCUUAACUGAGUAUUUUUCUGUUUUCCUGAGUAUGACUUGGCUUCUCCUGAGGGAUGGAAACAGGAAGGUCCUGUGCCUGGCUGUGGGAUCAUGGCCAGGUCUCUCUCCUCUCCAGUGGGACUAUUGUCCUGAUAAGAAGAGACACCAGGAAUAAAGGUCACGUGAGGACACCAAGGGAAAGAAGUCAUCUGCAAGCCCAGGAGAAAGGUCUCAAAAGAAACCAACUCUGACAUCACACUGAUUUUGGAUUUCCACCCUCCAGAUAUGUGUGUAAAUAAAAUUUUUUUGUUUAAGCCA